rnacentral:rRNA from 1 species
CAAAAACAUGUCUUUUUGAAAAUAAUUUAAAGUCUAACCUGCCCACUGAAAGUUUUAAAGGGCCGCGGUAUAUUGACUGUGCAAAGGUAGCAUAAUCAUUUGUCUCUUAAUUGGAGGCUAGAAUGAAUGGUUGAAUGAAGUAUUAACUGUCUCAUUUUAAAAAUUUAAUAAUUUAAUUUUUAAGUUAAAAAGCUUAAAUUUUUUUAGAGGACGAGAAGACCCUAUAGAUCUUUAUAAUAUAAAUAUUUAUUUAAUUUAGUUUAAUAUAUUUUAUAAUAAUUUAUAUUAUUUUAUUGGGGUGAUAGGAAAAUUUAUUUAACUUUUUUUAAUAUAAUACAUUGAUUUAUGAAAAAAUUGAUCCAUUUUUAGUGAUUAAAAGAUUAAGUUACCUUAGGGAUAACAGCGUAAUUUUUUUAGAGAGUUCUUAUCGAUAAAAAAGAUUGCGACCUCGAUGUUGAAUUAAAGGUUAUUUCUAGAUGCAGAAGUUUAGAGGUUAGGUCUGUUCGACCUUUGAAUCUUUACAUGAUCUG